UGUCCAGCCUUGUUGCCCGCAUUUGUGUUCCAAUUCCGCAACGUCAUCCCCAAACGUUGCGAGCUUCAGCAGCUCUCUGCACUCGGCGAUUCCUGAAACCCUCGUUUGAUUCGAUUUUGCGCUGCUGUUGUCGCUGAUAUCCCUGCCUUCCAUCUCUGCCGUUGUCGUUGAAUUCACAGAACGAUCGAUCACUUAGGAGCUGCUUUCUUAGAUCUACUUGAGCGAAUAGGUGACAACGCUGAUUGUGAAAUCUUAAACGCGACUUUCACACCGAUUAGGUUCCUCAACAGCGUAACAUGGGGUAUUUAUCCACGAAGGAUGUGGUAGAGGCAUCAGAGAACUUGUACUCAGCCGUUAUGAGCAUUGUGAUCCUCAAUGUGAAGUUCAUCGAGGCGCUAAUCAACUCAUUGCCGACGUCACACAAGUUUAAGGGUAAUCCCAGGCCUGCGUAAGAAACGUCUGAGGAAGUUCUGCCUGCGGUUGGAGAUGGUGAUCGGCCUCUCGACAAUUCCUUGGUCGACCAGCUUAGAAGAGCGUCACAUAUCGCUAAUGAAAAUCUUGCUAGGUGUACUGCAUUGGAUAUGUACCACGUUUUGAGAAUGUCCGUUUUGAAGGGCGAAGUUGAGCAUACGUAGGAUAAUAGCGUAGUACAGAUUUCUAGCGUAGCAGAUAAACCUGUUCUCUCCUCCGCGAUCAUUUUGGCUAACAACAGUAACUGUUUCUACUUCUGCUAUUUUAUAAUUGCACUGAUAUGUUCAGA